UGGGGAAUAUUGCACAAUGGGCGCAAGCCUGAUGCAGCCAUGCCGCGUGUAUGAAGAAGGCCUUCGGGUUGUAAAGUACUUUCAGCGGGGAGGAAGGGAGUAAAGUUAAUACCUUUGCUCAUUGACGUUACCCGCAGAAGCAGCACCGGCUAACUCCGUGCCAGCAGCCGCGGUAAUACGGAGGGUGCAAGCGUUAAUCGGAAUUACUGGGCGUAAAGCGCACGCAGGCGGUUUGUUAAGUCAGAUGUGAAAUCCCCGGGCUCAACCUGGGAACUGCAUCUGAUACUGGCAAGCUUGAGUCUCGUAGAGGGGGGUAGAAUUCCAGGUGUAGCGGUGAAAUGCGUAGAGAUGUGGAGGAAUACCGGUGGCGAAGGCGGCCCCCUGGACAAAGACUGACGCUCAGGUGCGAAAGCGUGGGGAGCAAACAGG
rnacentral:rRNA from 1 species